rnacentral:rRNA from 1 species
UUUUCUACUCCUACGGGAGGCAGCAGUGGGGAAUUUUCCGCAAUGGGCGAAAGCCUGACGGAGCAAUGCCGCGUGGAGGUGGAAGGCCUACGGGUCGUCAACUUCUUUUCUCGGAGAAGAAACAAUGACGGUAUCUGAGGAAUAAGCAUCGGCUAACUCUGUGCCGGCAGCCGCGGUAAUAAUA